rnacentral:rRNA from 1 species
UCGAGGAUAUUUAGCAAUGGGGGAAACCCUGACUAUGUGACGCCGCGUGAGGGAUGAAGUAUUUCGGUACGUAAACCUCUUUCGAUGGAGAAGAAACCUUUAAUUAAUACUUAAAGCUGACGGUAUCCAGAGAAGAAGCCAUGGCCAACUCCGUGCCAGCAGCCGCGGUAAUACGGGGAUGGCGAGCGUUACUCGGAUUUAUUGGGUGUAAAGGGCAGGUAGGUGUCCCAUCAAGUUAGAAGUGAAAUCCUGUAGCUUAACUACAGAACUGCUUUUAAAACUGAUGGGAUUGAGUCCAGAAGAGGAGAGCGGAAUUCCCGGUGUAAGAGUGAAAUCUGUAGAUAUCGGGAGGAACACCAGUGGCGAAAGCGGCUCUCUGGUCUGGUACUGACACUAAGCU